UGCGUAGGCGGGCUAAUAAGUCAGUGGUGAAAUCUCUCGGCUCAACCGGGAAACUGCCAUUGAUACUGUUAGUCUUGAGUUCGGUUGAGGUAGGCGGAAUGUGUAAUGUAGCGGUGAAAUGCUUAGAUAUUACACAGAACACCAAUUGCGUAGGCAGCUUACUAGACCGACACUGACGCUGAGGCACGAAAGCGUGGAGAGCGAACAGGAUUAGAUACCCUGGUAGUCC
rnacentral:rRNA from 1 species